GAUGAACGCUAGCGGCAGGCCUAAUACAUGCAAGUCGGACGGGAUUGGAGAGCUUGCUUUCCAUGAGAGUGGCGCACGGGUGCGUAACACGUAUGUAACCUACCUUCGUCAGGGGGAUAGCCUCUCGAAAGAGAGAUUAAGACCGCAUAACAUUACGACAUAGCAUUAUGAUGUAAUCAAAUAUUUAUAGGACGAAGAUGGGCAUGCGGAACAUUAGCUAGUUGGUGAGGUAACUGCUCACCAAGGCUACGAUGUUUAGGGGAUCUGAGAGGAUGACCCCCCACACUGGUACUGAGACACGGACCAGACUCCUACGGGAGGCAGCAGUAAGGAAUAUUGGUCAAUGGGCGGAAGCCUGAACCAGCCAUGCCGCGUGCAGGAAGACGGCCCUACGGGUUGUAAACUGCUUUUGCAGGGGAAUAAACCCCGGUACGUGUACCGGGCUGAAUGUACUCUGAGAAUAAGG
rnacentral:rRNA from 1 species